rnacentral:rRNA from 1 species
GGAGUUAGCCGGUGCUUCUUCUGUGAGUGAUGUCCUUCCUGCCGGUUAUUGACCCGCAGGCCUUCUUCCUCACUGAAAGUGCUUUACAACCCGAAGGCCUUCUUCACACACGCGGCAUGGCUGGAUCAGGGUUGCCCCCAUUGUCCAAUAUUCCCCACUGCUGCCUCCCGUAGGAGUCUGGGCCGUGUCUCAGUCCCAGUGUGGCUGAUCAUCCUCUCAGACCAGCUACGGAUCGUCGCCUUGGUGAGCCGUUACCUCACCAACCAGCUAAUCCGACAUAGGCUCAUCCGAUAGCGCGAGGCCCGAAGGUCCCCCGCUUUCCCCCGUAGGGCGUAUGUGGUAUUAGCCUGGGUUUCCCCCAGGUUAUCCCCCACUACCGGGCAGAUUCCUAUGCAUUACUCACCCGUCCGCCGCUCGCCACCAGGGAGCAAGCUCCCCGUGCUGCCGCUCGACUUGCAUGUGUUAGGCCUGCCGCCAGCGUUCAAUCUGAGCCAGAAUCAAACUCUGA